rnacentral:rRNA from 1 species
CGAUUAUGGCUCAGAUUGAACGCUGGCGGGGUGUACACAUGCAAGUCGAACGGCAGCACGGACUUCGGUCUGGUGGCGAGUGGCGAACAGGUGAGUAAUGUAUCGGAACGUGCCUGGUAGCGGGGGAUAACUACGCGAAAGCGUAGCUAAUACCGCAUACGCCCUUCGGGGGAAAGCGGGGACGCCGGGCUCGCGCCUGUGGAAACGGCCGAUAUCGGAUUAGCUAGUUGGUGGGAGUAACGGCUCACCAAGGCGACGAUCCGUAGCUGGUUUGAGAGGACGACCAGCCACACUGGGACUGAGACACGGCCCAGACUCUACAGGAGGCGGCGGUGAGAUUUUUGGACAAUGGGGGAAACCCUGAUCCAGCCAUCCCGCGUGUGCGAUGAAGGCCUUCGGGUUGUAAAGCGCUUUUUGGCGGGAAAGAAACGGCACGGGAUAAUACCCCGUUUCGCUGACAGUACCUGCAGAAUAAGCCGCAACUACGUACCAGCAGCCGCGGUAAUACGUAGAGGUGCAAGCGUUAAUCGGAAUUACUGAGGCGUAAGCGUGCGCGAGCGGUUCGGGAAGAAGAUGUGAAAUCAGAGCUUAACUUUGGAACUGCAUUGUUUUUAACUACCGAGCUAGAGUGUGUCAGAGGGAGGUGGAAUUCCGCGUCAGCAGUGAAAUGCGUAGAUAUGCGGAGGAACACACACACACACGCCGAAACGGCGAAGGCAACCUGGGAUGCUGCAGCGCUCUGGCGCAGCGUGGGGAGCAAACGGGAUUAGAUACCCUGGUAGUCCCGCCCUAAACGAUGUCAACUGGCUGUUGGGGCCUUCGGGCCUUGGUAGCGCAGCUAGCGUGAAGUUGACCGCCUGGGGAGAGUACGGUCGCAAGAUUAAACUCAAAGGAAUUGACGGGGACCCGCACAACGGUGGGAUGAUGUGGAUUAAUUCGAUGCAACGCGAAAAGCCUUACCUACCCUUGACAUGUCUGUCGAAAGGGUCGGGAGUGCUCAUAAGAGAACCGGAACACAGGUGCUGCAUGGCUGUCGUCAGCUCGUGUCGUGAGAUGUUGGGUUAAGUCCCGCAACGAGCGCAACCCUUGUCAUUAGUUGCUGAGGCACUCUAAUGAGACUGCCGGUGACAAACCGGAGGAAGGUGGGGAUCAAGUCCUCGCUGGCCUAUGGGUAGGGCUUCACACGUCACAAUGGUCGGGACAGAGGGUCGCCAACCACGGAGAGGCCAAUCCGAAGCCCGAUCGUAGUCCGGAUCGCAGUCUGCAACAAGCUGCGUGAAGUCGGAAUCGCUAGUAAUCGCGGAUCAACAUGUCGCGGAAUACGUUCCCCGGGUCUUUUACACCGCCCGUCACACCAUGGGAGUGGGUUUUGCCGGAAAUGAUUAGCUAAGCCGUAAGGAGGGCGGUCACAGUAGGAUUCGCGGUGGGGUAGUAACAAAACAA